rnacentral:rRNA from 1 species
UAGGGAAUCUUCGGCAAUGGGGGGAACCCUGACCGAGCAACGCCGCGUGAGUGAAGAAGGUUUUCGGAUCGUAAAGCUCUGUUGUUAAGGAAGAACGAGUGUGAGAAUGGAAAGUUCAUGCUGUGACGGUACUUAACCAGAAAGGGACGGCUAACUACGUGCCAGCAGCCGCGGUAAUACGUAGGUCCCGAGCGUUGUCCGGAUUUAUUGGGCGUAAAGGGUACGUAGGCGGUCUAUUAAGUCAGGUGUGAAAGCGUGAGGCUUAACCUCAUUAAGCACUUGAAACUGAUAGACUUGAGUGAAGGAGAGGAAAGUGGAAUUCCUAGUGUAGCGGUGAAAUGCGUAGAUAUUAGGAGGAAUACCGGUGGCGAAGGCGACUUUCUGGACUUUUACUGACGCUCAGGUACGAAAGCGUGGGGAGCAAACAGG